ACUUGUCUCUCCCUUUUUCACUUUUGCCCUUCAAUUUUCUGUUUCCCUUCUUCGUUUGUGCACCCCAUAUACCACACCUUUGUUUCUGUUGCAUCCUGCAUGUCUUGCCACCACUGCAUCAGAAGAUCUUAUAUUCACAUGUAUGAGAUUCUUUUGAAGUUAUAGUGUGGAAUAUACUCCGCCCAUAAUAUAUAUGAGGGUUGGAUGCAUAUAUGCAUGCAGGUUGAAUGUGCUCGUGACCGUAUGUGUCUAGUAGUGACUUAGAGAGGCAUCUAAUAUUGUUGACAUGGGACCAAACUUUAUUGAUUAUUUCACCUUAAUUUGGUGUUUGUGUCCUUAUACAAUUGCAUUCUUUCUUCACCUUUUGUACGAUGGAGCAAGCAACGGUUGAGAAGAGUAAACUAACUUGUCGUGCCCACCUGGCUUGCAUAAAAUAUUGGUCAUGCAUGAGACAAGAGUUUUAAAGUUAAUUGUUUAGAAUUCUAGGAUAAGAUACUCCAACUCACUGUCUAGUCGUACAUCUCACCUAUUCAAGUUGGUUAUUAUUGCUUGGAUUCCUUCACUUUCUUGCUUACUAGGAUAAUUAACUUUGAGCUUUUCACUGCUCAUAAAUAUCAAUUGUCUAUGGAAGGGCUCCUAAAAACAACUAUGUCUAUAUAUCGAAGGAGUUUUAAUUCGACGA